AAGACGCUGCGUAUGGUCUCAAUGUGGCUACGGGCCGCCAGGCAUGUUUGGACAGUCAGUUUUUUGGAGCCCCGCGCGAUGGCCGGACUAGCCCCGCACAACUCCAUACGGCUCCGGCGAUCGAAGUGGGUCCGGCCCCGCGAGGCCGUACGGCUCAAGCGACCACGUUAGGUCGCGCUCACCGCAUGCUGGUGGGACAGGCCCUUAAAUUGGUGUUAUAAAUAUCUAAGAUAUAAUUUUCACCUUUUCCAGAUCCUGGCGACGUCAGUGGGAUUCUGGAUGCCCCAGAGGUGAUCAUCAUAUUUACCAGCAAGCGGUGCCAUAUCUGUAAGGUCUACCAUCUCCUAAGAUGUCGACACUGCUACAGCUGUGAUGUGUGUGUAGAGUUACCUCAUUGCAGCUGGAAUGAACAUAUAUGAGCAGAUUAUGAGGACAUAUAAACAUGAAAGGAAUCAAUUUGAUAAGGGAUGUUGGAGAAACUUUACUGUCCUGUUGUUCGGUCACCAGCUAUCGAGCUGCAAAAAAAGAAUGAAGUCACCGUGCUCCCAAGUUCUCUGGUGGAAUGUCCGUCCGUCAGUUCAAAGUGUGCGGACACCACAUCUGCCACUUUUACAGCCAUCCUAUCUUGUUCCAAUGCUGUUGUUCCACUACCUGUUGCUUGUGUUCCUACUUUACCCAACCGCCCCCAAAGUGCCCCCUUGCCCACUUUCUCUUACCUUAAUGAAAACUC